AUGGGGUGGAGGGAACUACAGUUCCCAGGAAGCAGUGCGGCUCCCUGGCUGCCCCGCUCAGGCCACGCCCAGACCACGCCCCCACCCGCCUCGGCCACGCCCCGGCCACGCCCCCGGGCGGGCUGGUAUAUAAGGGCCGAAUGGCCCGGCGGCGGGCAGAGCGCGGAGGCGGCGCGGGCGCGCGCGGGGCUGCCGGGGCCGGAGGAGGCUGCUGCUCGCCCGCUCGCCCGCUCGCCCGCCCGCCGCUCCGCGCUUCUCCCUCCGCCUCCCCGGCCCCGCGCACCUACGAGCUCGGGGCCGCGGGCCGAGCUGCCCCGGGCGCUGUCCGGGCCUGCAGAGGGGAUGCCGGCGGGGACCUCGGGCUCGCGCCGGCGUUGCGCAGCAAAGAAAGGCGAGGCGCGGCGUCGGGGCUGCGCGCCCUGGAGCUCCGGGACGCGGCACUUGGGAACCCCCGCGGCGAGCUCCCGCCAUCUCCGCGCGGCCGGAGCGCGCAGCCCGGGGCUGGCCUCGGGUGGAAAGUGCGGGGAAUGGGGCGAGGGGCUCCGGACCCCCCACCGUGGAUUACUUGGUGUGCAUCAGCCGGGCUCAGACGACCCCCACCCCCGCGACCUCGUCUGCGUCCUGGGCUUGCUUCCUUCCACCUGGCAGUCGGGGCGCAUACCUGGCAGCCAACAUUUGGACUCAAACUGCCUUCGAGGGAUUGAUCCUUUUAGUAUGACGACGGAAUGGAGGCCCUUCGUUUCGGUAAAAGUAAGAUUUCUGGGACGCUGGGGUGGCCUAGUGGUUGAGCAUCUGCUUGCAGCUCUGGGUGUGAUCCUGGGGUCCUGAGAUCGAGUCCUGCAUUGGGCUCCCUGCAUGGAGCCUGCUUCUCCCUCUGCCUGUGUCUCUGCCUCUCUCUCUGUGUCUCUCAUGAGUAAAUAUAAUCUUAAAAAAAAACAUGAGAUUCCUGUUUGCUGGGGGUUCCCGACCUGGCUUUGGGAGGCCGACCCCGCUGCAGGGCUCACAGCCCCCCCGCCACCAGAAUCCUGCUCUGCAGCGGUUGCUCCCCCUGCUUGCAUUUCUGCUGUCCUGGAGGCAGAGCUGCCUGGUAAUAACCUGAAUUGCUCUGGGAGGGAGAAGUCCUCGCCACACCCCCUCUUCCUUCCCGCCCUCCUCACCCUCCCCUCCUCCUAGGAGGGGAGGAAAAAAAAAUAAAAAAAAUCAUUCUUCCUUUCUGCA
rnacentral:lncRNA from 12 species